AUGUCCACAGUGCGACGGCGGCCGGUCUCCGCCCCUGCGGCCGCGACGGGCGCCCGGUUGCGGAUCUGGUAGCAGAAGAAGAAGAGGACGGAGAAGAGCGCGGUGCCCGUGAGGCCGACGCAGGUGUAGCUGAAGAUCACCGUCGCUUUGUUGGUGUGCCGCUGGUGCUCUGAGUUUGGCAAGCCCGUCGGACCGAACGAAGCCAUGGAGCUCGCAAGACUUUCGCCGGUUCGUACUUCCAAUCCAAGGUAAAGGAAUGAGAGCCGACGCCGAUCACAGCGAGGGCCUUGCGGAUUUGCGGUAGAUAUGGACAGUGUUGG
rnacentral:lncRNA from 1 species